UACGUAGGGCGCAAGCGUUGUCCGGAAUUAUUGGGCGUAAAGAGCUCGUAGGCGGUUUGUCGCGUCUGCUGUGAAAACCUAAGGCUCAACCUUGGGCUUGCAGUGGGUACGGGCAGACUAGAGUGCGGUAGGGGGUGACUGGAAUUCCUGGUGUAGCGGUGGAAUGCGCAGAUAUCAGGAGGAACACCGAUGGCGAAGGCAGGUCACUGGGCCGCAACUGACGCUGAGGAGCGGAAAGCAUGGGGGAGCGAAUGGG
rnacentral:rRNA from 1 species